UAUUUGGUUAGAGGCGAGUAGACUGAAGGAGCAAUCCGCUUCGGGAGGGGCCUGCGUCCCAUCAGCUAGUUGGUAGGGUAAAGGCCUACCAAGGCGACGACGGGUAGGGGACCUGAGAGGGUGACCCCCCACACUGGCACUGAAACACGGGCCAGACACCUACGGGUGGCAGCAGUAGGGAAUAUUGCACAAUGGGCGAAAGCCUGAUGCAGCAACGCCGCGUGCGCGAUGAAGGCCUUCGGGUUGUAAAGCGCUUUUCUGGAGGACGAGAAAGGACGGUACUCCAGGAAUAAGGCUCGGCUAACUACGUGCCAGCAGCCGCGGUAAAACGUAGGAGCCAAGCGUUAUCCCUGGGCGUAAAGCGCGUGCAGGCGGUCUGGUAAGUUGGGUGUG
rnacentral:rRNA from 1 species